rnacentral:tRNA from 1 species
GGGGUUGUAGCUCAGUGGUAGAGUGCUUACCUUUUAUGUGUGUGGCACCAGGUUCAGUCCUUGGCACCUUA